GAAAAAUCACUCUGCCGGUUGGGACCUCUUUGGCGAUUCCUAUUCACAUUCUCCAUCGGAAUCCGAAAUACUGGCCGGACCCCGACAAAGUUGACCCGGGAAGGUUCCUGCCCGAGAACGCAGAGCUGCGGGACCCUAACGCCUUCGUGCCUUACAGCCUGGGCCCAAUGGACUGUCUAGGUCGCGUGUACGCCAUACAGAUGGUGAAAACGCUGGUGGUGCGCACGCUGCGGCACGUGCGGCUCGAGGCCGAUGGCCGCCUCGAGGACCUGGCGCUCGACGUCGCCAUCUCCGUCUCCUUCUCCGACGGGUACCGACUCAGGGUCUAUCAGAGGAGGCCGAAGAACAACAGAGACCAAAAUUUUGCAUAAAUCUGGAGUUAUCAAUAAAUUUACUAUAAAUAAUUUAAAUUAAUCAAGGCCUUUUUAUCCUCUAAAGAGGCCCAGGUCGCCGGACGGUAUUAGCCUUAAUACCAAAUUUAUUAAAGUAUAAUUAUUUUUACAAAUUCAUUUAAACAAAAAUAUUUUUUUCUUAUUGUAAGUAAUUUAGAAUGCAUUAAAUGUAUUGCCAAAAAUUUUCACCACACCCUUAUAAUCAUAAUCAUAAUCUUUAUUGCUUGUGAGAAAUGGGUUACAUUGCCAGUAAUUACUAUUGUAACAAUAUUUCACGGACUCACCAAGACUCUACCUUUACAGGUGUACAAACAAAUAUUUCCUAUGUUACCUACAUAGCAAAUGAUGUCAAGUAUUAAUACAAUCAUAAAUCACAAUCUUAAAGUCUUAUUAACAACUCGUGCAAUAACAAAACGAAAUAAAAUAAAAUACAAAUAAAGUCAAAGUCAUACACAAUCUAAUCCCAUUAAAUCAUUAUUUAAAAAUUCAUUAAUACUAUAAAAACAUCUCUGUAUUAGCCAAGCAUGGACUUGUGAUUUAAAUAUAUUCAAAUUAUUAUUCUUAAAAUUGUCAGGUAAUUUAUUAUAAAUACGAAUACACAUAAUAUACGAGUUUCUUGAGGAAAGUGCCAAAUUAACAGAAGUUUUAUGUAAAGUAAACUUAUAUUGUGUCCUUGUCGCGCGUGGACCCAUUGUUUGGAACUCCACAAACAAGUAUUUAUACUUGUGUACAAAAACACACACUUCGAAAAUGUACAUGCUAGGAAAAGUGAGUAUGUUAUUUUCUAUAAAAUGAGUACGACAUGAGCCCAUAUAGUGUAUGUCAAAUAUGGCUCUUAUACAACGCUUCUGUGUUAUAAAUAUUGCGUCUUUUUCAAUACAGUUUCCCCAAACUACAAGUCCAUAUCGUAAGAGAGAAUUUACGUAGCCAUUAUAAGCAAGUAGCGCUGCUUGGGUCGAAACAGUUUGGCUAAUUCGUCUAAGUGCAAAAAUAAAACUAUUUAGUUUGGAUCGUACAUUAGCAGCAUGUUCCGUCCAAUUACAGUGACUGUCAAUCAUUAUGCCUAAAAACUUUGUAUUUUGCACUUCUUUUACAGGCUCAUUAUCUAAAGUUAUAUGCAGUUUCUGUGCGUUGCCUCUUGCUGUACUGAACUGAAUAUAAUAUAUAUAUUAAAAAUGAUGUUAAUGGCAUCUUAAAGAAAAUUGCACAACAUUUUAAAUGUAUACUUAUAAAAAGUGAAGAUGUUUCCGGGAUUCACCAAUGAAAAUAAAACAUCUAUUAUGAUGAUUUGAAUUCUUAAAAUGAAUACGAGCAUUCUUAAGACCAAACAAAGCACAUAUAACCUUUGUUUGAUAUUCAAUAACAUAAUUAAAUCUUAUAUCUUUUUGUAAAACCAAUUUAAAAAAAACCGGCCAAGUGUGAGUCAGACUCACGCUUGACUGCAAUUUUCUAAUAGGUUUUCCUGUCAUCUAUAGGUAUGUACUUUUAUGCCAUAGUAAGGAAGAAGACGGCGGCAUCUGUGGUGAUGUGGAUGAGGGGGAGCUGAAAUAGCAUCCUGAGAAUGAUAGCAGAGAGGUGGGACUCGGAUAUUCUCCGCCGAUAUACCGACCUUCAUGUCUUACGACCUAGAAAAUAAGUAUUUUUAUGUUUUAAGUUUACUAAUGAAGUUUCAUAAGUGUCAUGUAACUAACAAUCUAUGGAUCUCAGGAAUCUGAAAAUAAAUAAUCUUUAUUUUUAUUUUAUUUAUUAAUUUUUAUUAAUU